CCUACGGGUGGCAGCAGUGAGGAAUAUUGGUCAAUGGGCGCGAGCCUGAACCAGCCAAGUAGCGUGAAGGAUGACUGCCCUACGGGUUGUAAACUUCUUUUAUAAAGGAAUAAAGUGAGGCACGUGUGCCUUUUUGUAUGUACUUUAUGAAUAAGGAUCGGCUAACCCCGUGCCAGCAGCCGCGGGAAUACGGAGGAUCCGAGCGUUAUCCGGAUUUAUUGGGUUUAAAGGGAGCGUAGAUGGGUUGUUAAGUACGUUGGGAAAGUUUGCGGCUCAACCGUAAAAUUGCCAUUGAUACUGGCAGUCGUGAGUACAGGUGAGGUAGGCGGAAUGCGUGGUGUAGCGGUGAAAUGCUUAGAUAUCACGAAGAACUCCGAUUGCGAAGGCAGCUUACUAGACUGCCACUGACAUUGAUGCUCGAAAGUGUGGGUAUCAAACAGGAGUAGAUACCCUUGUAGUC
rnacentral:rRNA from 1 species